rnacentral:rRNA from 1 species
AUGUAAUACCUCUAGCCUGAUUACCCUCCAACCUAACAUAAACUUCUACUCCUCUUAAUUAAAUUAAAACAUUCUAAAUAUUUAGUAUAUGAGAUAAAAAAAUACCCAGAGCUAUAGCUAAAGUACCGUAAGGGAAAGAUGAAAUAGAAAUGAAAUAACCUCACACACCAAAAACCAGAGAUUUCACCUCGUACCUUUUGCAUCAUGGCCUAACAAGUCUAAUCAGGCAAAACGAAUUUUAGUCUGACCUCCCGAAACUAAGUGAGCUACUCCGGGGCUACUUAAUGUUAAACCCGUCUCUGUAGCAAAAGAGUGGGAAGACCCCCGAGUAGAGGCAAUAAACCUAUCGAACUUAGUAAUAGCUGGUUGCUUAGGAAAAGGAUUUAAGUUCUUUCUUAAAAAUAUAUUAGCAAAACUAAGCAAACUCAAUUUUUAAGAACUAUUCAAUAAAGGUACAGCUUUAUUGAAAAAGGGGACAACCUAAAAUUUAGGAUAAUGAUUAUACCCUUAUAGGUUAAAGGCUAAGUUGGCCUAAAAGCAGCUAUCUUUAAAAAAGCGUCAAAGCUUCACCUUAAGAAUACCUUAAAUCUCAUUACAUUAUCAAAAUCCAUCAUUACUACUAAGCUAUUCUAUAUCUUUAUAGAAAAAUUUAUGUUAGGACUAGUAACAAAGAAUUAUUUCUCUUAUAUGUAAGCUUAAAUCAACCCGAAUACCUCCUUGAUAAUUAUUCAACUUUGAUCCCAGAGUAACACCACUUUACUUACAAAAACCCUACUCAAUUUAUUGUUAACCAAACACUUGAACAUAAAAGAAAGAUAAAAGAAUUAAGAAGGAACUCGGCAAACACAAGUCCCGCCUGUUUACCAAAAACAUCGCCUUUUGAAUAAUAUAAAAGGUAACGCCUGCCCAGUGACACUAUGUUUAACGGCCGCGGUAUUCUGACCGUGCGAAGGUAGCGUAAUCAUUUGUCUUUUAAAUGGAGACUUGUAUCAACGGCAUCACGAGGGACUUAACUGUCUCCUUAAUUUAAUCAGUGAAACUGAUCUCCCCGUAAAAAAGCGGAGAUAAAACCAUAAGACGAGAAGACCCUAUGGAGCUUAAAACAAUAAACUACUUGUAUAAUCUGCUAUUUAAUACCACUAAAAUACAAAUCUAGCCUAAGUUUUCUGUUGGGGCGACUGUGGAGAAAAACUUAUCCUCCAUGAAGAAUAAACUUUGAGCUACCACUCUUAGUAUUAGCAAGCCUAACUUAAAUUGAUCCAAUCUUUGAUCAACGGACCAAGUUACCCUAGGGAUAACAGCGCAAUCUAUUUCAAGAGUCCCUAUCGACAAAUAGGUUUACGACCUCGAUGUUGGAUUAGGACAUCCUAGUGGUGUAGCCGCUACUAAC